AGAGUUUGAUCAUGGCUCAGGACGAACGCUGACGGUGUGCUUUAGGCAUGCAAGUCGAACGAGAAAGCCCUUCGGGGUGAGUAAAGUGGCGAACGGGUGAGUAACACGUGGGCAACCUGCCCCUCGCAGGGGGACAACCGGAGGAAACUCCGGCUAAUACCCCGUACGCUUGCUGGAUCGCAUGGUCCGGCAAGGAAAGGUAGCUUCGGCCAUCCGGCGAGGGAUGGGCCCGCGUUGCAUUAGCUAGUUGGUGGGGUAACGGCCUACCAAGGCGACGAUGCGUAGCUGGCCUGAGAGGAUGAUCAGCCACACUGGGACUGAGACACGGCCCAGACUCCUACGGGAGGCAGCAGCCAGGAAUCUUGGGCAAUGGGCGAAAGCCUGACCCAGCAACACCGUGUGGGCGAUGAAGGCCUUAGGGUCGUAAAGCCCUGUUGAUAGGGACGAAGGGCGAAGGGUUAAUAGCCCCUAGCUUGACGGUACCUUUCGAGGAAGCCCCGGCUAACUACGUGCCAGCAGCCGCGGUAAUACGUAGGGGGCGAGCGUUGUCCGGAAUUAUUGGGCGUAAAGAGCGUGUAGGCGGUUCGGUAAGUCUACUGUGAAAUCCUGGGGCUCAACCCUGGGCGUGCAGCGGAUACUGCCGGGCUAGAGGGUGGUAGAGGCGAGUGGAAUUCCGAGUGUAGCGGUGAAAUGCGCAGAUAUUCGGAGGAACACCAGUAGCGAAGGCGGCUCGCUGGGCCACACCUGACGCUGAGACGCGAAAGCGUGGGGAGCGAACAGGAUUAGAUACCCCGGUAGUCC
rnacentral:rRNA from 1 species